rnacentral:rRNA from 1 species
GACGAACGCUGGCGGCGUGCCUAAUACAUGCAAGUAGAACGCACAGUUUAUACCGUAGCUUGCUUCACCAUAGACUGUGAGUUGCGAAUGGGUGAGUCACGCGUAGCUAACCUGCCUGGUAGCGGGGGAUAACUAUUGUAAACGAUAGCUAAUACCGCAUAAUAUUAAUUAUUGCAUGAUUAUUAAUUGAUAGCUGCAAUUGCACCACUACCAUCUGGUCCUGCGUUGUAUUAGCUAGUAGGUGAGGUAACGGCCCACCUAGGCGACGAUACAUAGCCGACCUGAGGAGGAGAUAGGCCAAACUGGGAAUUAGACACGGGCCAGACUCCUACGGGAAGCAGCAGUAGGGAAACUUCGGCAAUGGAGGAAAGUCUGGACGAGCAAAGCCGGGUGAGUGAAGAAAGGUCUCGGAUCGUAAAGCUCUGUUGUAAGAGAAGAAAGGGUGGGAGAGUAAAAAGUACACACUGUGACGGUAUCUUACGAGAAAGGGACGGCUAACUACGUG